CUGGAGUGCAGUGGUGCAAUCUCGACUCACUGCAACCUCUGCCUUGUGGGUUAAAAUGAUUCUCCUGCCUCAGCCUCCCGAGUAGCUGAGAUUACAGGCACACAUCACCAUGCUCAGCUAAUUUUUGUAUUUUUAGUAGAGACAGGGUUUCACCAUGUUGGCCAGGCUGGUCUCGAACUCCUGACCUCAAGUGAUACACCCGUCUUGGCCUCCCAAAGUGCUGGGAUUACAGGCGUGAGCCACCGCGCCCGGCCCAGUUAUUUAUUACCUCUUAUGUGCUCUACGGACUUAAAGUAUUUGGAGGAGAUCUCAUGCCUCCAUCUUACAAGCUCAGGAAUCAUCUUUGUUGACAAACACAAAGGUAGGAGAUCAUGACAGACUUAACCAAGGAGAAAAAUGGAGCUGAUGCACUUUCUAAUCCUGGGUCUACCCUUUUUCUAUAAAAAUAUUUUUAAAAAUUAAUUACACAAGUGACACAUGAACAAUGCUUAUUACAUAAAAAUGAUACAAUACAGGAUGAUAUAAAUUAAAAAGCAAAUAUCUUUGACACCUUCUUGUUCAACAUUCUCUUUCAGGUGAAGUUAUCUGUUC
rnacentral:lncRNA from 1 species